CUUGUAACGUUAACAGAACCCGAACACUACUUCAGUUUCGUUUCGCCUUCGACAGAAAACGGACUGGUGGCCGCACACGAGAGACCACAAGAAUCGUAGGAGCUAACCUAUUAUCAGCCCCGUAAAAACAUCUCUUUACGAUUGCACGAGUCAAAACGAAUUUCAAAAUUGCAUCCGACACCGGUAUGCUUGCCCAUUUGGCCGUUUCGAAACUUUUGUGUAAUGGAUCGCAUAAAGGAGACCGAUCAAAUCCUCUUCGAUAUUUAUAAUUUUCACGCCAAUUUAGGAUAGAAACAUUUUGCGAAAAAAACUCAUGGCUCCCGAUUCGAUCGAUUCCAAGGAAAUAAAGGAACCGGUAGCAUAACUUCCACGAAUUAUUCGCACGAAUUCGAUCGUGUUAUCGCAUUUACGCCUCGUGUUUCAGCAGGCAAACUGGUUAUUAAAAUUAGAUACGCUCAUUUUUGGGGAAAAUUAACUUGCUUUUUAAUAGAAU